GAUGAACGCUGGCGGCGUGCCUAAUACAUGCAAGUCGAGCGAACGGACGAGAAGCUUGCUUCUCUGAUGUUAGCGGCGGACGGGUGAGUAACACGUGGAUAACCUACCUAUAAGACUGGGAUAACUUCGGGAAACCGUAGCUAAUACCGGAUAAUAUUUUGAACCGCAUGGUUCAAAAGUGAAAGACGGUUUUGCUGUCACUUAUAGAUGGAUCCGCGCUGCAUUAGCUAGUUGGUAAGGUAACGGCUUACCAAGGCAACGAUGCGUAGCCGACCUGAGAGGGUGAUCGGCCACACUGGAACUGAGACACGGUCCAGACUCCUACGGGAGGCAGCAGUAGGGAAUCUUCCGCAAAGGGCGAAAGCCUGACGGAGCAACGCCGCGUGAGUGAUGAAGGUCUUCGGAUCGUAAAACUCUGUUAUUAGGGAAGAACAUAUGUGUAAGUAACUGUGCACAUCUUGACGUUACCUAAUCAGAAAGCCACGGCUAACUACGUG
rnacentral:rRNA from 1 species